CGCAACAUGAAAUGAUUAAUUUCUGCAACUGAAAUGUUGAGUUUGAAGAUAUUCUGAGACGCACAGUCGAUAUUCUCAAAAGUGAAUAAUUAUCACCUUAGAACCCAAGAAAUGGACCCAUCUACGUAUCUCAAUGUGAUUAUUUCUAUCGACGUCCGUGUCUGUCUUCCCUUCACUUUCCUGCUCAUCACUUUGUGCUGUGUCGUGCGAUUGGAUGGUUUUCCUGUCUCCUACUACUUAAACCUUCUCUUUUCUAAUCUAAUUCAGCUCAUCAUUCUGAUUGGGCUUCCUCCAAAAUUACCUUUUUAUUGGAGAUAUCUUCCUUCGGUCAUCAUCUAUGCCUGCUGUACUUUGGCCAGUAUUUGCUUCAGGACGAUGAUUGCUCUGGAGAGGUGUUUUUCCAUCUCCUGCUCGUCAUCAAGCUGCAUCACGCAGACUAAAGGUUUUGUGAUAGUCAGUGUUUUGGUUUGGGUGUUUUGUUUGGUGUUUGUCCCUCUUUUUAUUUCACUGAGAGAGGGAUCAUCCUACCUCAUGUUUGCCCUCCUGCCUGCCCCUGUGUUACUUAUCUGCUUAGUUGUAAGCCUCAAAUAUAUAUGUGGCAACAUGUCAGUGCCAGCUGAAGAAAAACGCAGAACUGUAGGAAUUUUAGUUGUGUUGCUCAUUCAUUACACUGUGUCAGUCUUCCCAAUAGUUAUUUCAUUUUUUGUUUUCCAUCAUUUUCAGCCAUACUUAGACGGAUUUGAAAUACCAGAUAUUUAUUUGACCUUGUUUCUCCUCGGUUAUUUCUUCGACCUGCUGUUGUUUGUGGUGAUGUGUAAAGGACUCAUUGAGAAGCUGCUGAUAUGUUUCUGCUGCUGCAGGAGGGAAAACGUUGAGCGAACUGACGGCAGCAGAUCGUCAGUUUGACUGUAGCAAAAGCAGGUCAGAAAUACAGAAAAAAUGCAGUGUAGCUUGUAUUAGAAGCAAAAAUUUUAGAUUGCAGACAUGCUUUUUUGUUUUAACCAAAACAACUGCAUAAAGUGAUAUAGCAGCUGUAUAGCUAUUUACCUGAUUAGCGUCUGAAUGUGUGUGUAAAUGUUUAAAAACUGAAUGUAGUGUGAACUUGAUGCAGUGCUAUACCAGUGCAGUCCAUUUACCGUUUUCAGUUUUUUAUGUUCUGUUUUACAUUUUACAUAGAUCCAUUUUUCUUCAAAUAAAAUGUUUGUACUGGUUUUUAUGCAUAUUUUACAUACAAAAUUAUAUACUCA